rnacentral:rRNA from 1 species
AAUCAACGCUGGCGGCGUGCCUAACACAUGCAAGUCGAGCGGGAAAGGGGGCUUCGGCCCCUGAGUAUAGCGGCGGACGGGUGAGUAACACGUGGGUAAUUUGCCCUUGGGUGUGGAAUAACUCAGGGAAACUUGAGCUAAUACCGCAUGACAUCCCCUUCACACACGAGUCGGGGAUCAAAGCCGGGGACCCUUCGGGGCCUGGCGCCUGAGGAGAAGCCCGCGCCCGAUUAGCUAGNGGUGAGGUAAUGGCUCACCAAGGCUUCGAUCGGUAGCCGGCCUGAGAGGGCGGACGGCCACACUGGGACUGAGACACGGCCCAGACUCCUACGGGAGGCAGCAGUGGGGAAUUUUUGUCAAUGGGGGGAAACCCUGAACAAGCAACGCCGCGUGGAGGACGACGACCU